rnacentral:rRNA from 1 species
CAAUAUCGUAUAUUAAAGUUGUUGCGGUUAAAAAGCUCGUAGUUGGAUUUCUGUUGGGAACGACCGGUCCGCCCAUUGGGUGUGUAUCUGGCUUGUUCUCGGCAUCUUCUUGGUGAACGUUGCUGCACUUGACUGUGUGGAGCGCUACCCAGGACUUUUACUUUGAGGAAAUUAGAGUGUUUCAAGCAGGCAUAUGCCUUGAAUACAUUAGCAUGGAAUAAUAAGAUAGGACCUCGGUUCUAUUUUGUUGGUUUCUAGAGCUGAGGUAAUGAUUAAUAGGGAUAGUUGGGGGCAUUCGUAUUUAACUGUCAGAGGUGAAAUUCUUGGAUUUGCUAAAGACGGACUACUGCGAAAGCAUUUGCCAAGGAUGUUUUCAUUGA